UCGAGUGACGCCAUAUGCCCUAUCCCUAACCCGCUCUCGUCUCCCUCGGACGCAGCCGGCCGCCGAAUCGAAUCCCGCCCGCGGGCUCAUCUGCCUCGCCAUGGCCGAUGAACGCGUCGGCUGCGGCCGUGUCCCUCUCCCAACGGCGGCGUUGAUGGAGGGAGCAGCUGGCGGUGGCCAAGCUGCCGAUCGAUGGACGCGCCGGGCGUCACUCCUCGGGUCCAGCCCCUCCCGCUCCCUGCAUCUCUCCCUGUCUCCUCCACGAGCUGCACGGAAGUACGUACAUGCAUCCUUGUGAGGAAGAUUGAUCGGGAUGGAGAAAUCAGGCGACGCGGAACCACACCAAGCUCCAAUACUAUCGCCUCGUGUGUUGCCUGCUCCACCUCCUUACGGAUAUGCUGCUUCUUAUCAUGUCCCAGCCGCUGGUGCGACCAAUCCAAGUGUUCAUCCAUUCUGGUCUAUUUCUUUGGAUAAUUUAUGGAGGCCGUGGUUCUGGUAUUUGUAUGUAUUCGCAAAUUGUUCACAAGGCCUGGAGGAAAUAAUAGGGAGGAUUGGAGAUGCACUGGGCAUGCCAUGGCAACGAAACAAAAGCUUAUUACUUCAAUUCAAUUAUGCAAGCUGAAGGUGAUUGCUUUAAUCCAAUGUUGCAAGCAAUCUGAAGCCAACAAGCUGAGUUUCUUGCCAAAGUGGCGGCGGUUAGAGAUCAAUAAUACAUGUGGUGUAAAGUUUAAAUUAUUUAAGUAAGAUUUGAUUUUCCCCACACAAAAAAGGAAGACUUGACUUGAUGCCUCGAUAUGCUACCCUGUUAAGCCCAACAUUGACCAGAUGCCAUCGACCGUGGCUUCUCCACAUAUCCGGAUUGUGCUCAUCCGCCCCGCCGUUCCCCAUCCCUUGUAUCGCUGGCGUUAGUGUGGCCCGAUUGCCGGCGUUCGGCUAGGCAAGUGCCAUUGUUCAUGCGGUUGGUGUCAUUAUUCACUACAGGAAUCGAUACCCUGGCAUAUUAUUUUGCUUAGUUGCACAUUGUGUUUGCGUAUUUGUCUUAUCCCUCUCACGUUGAUGUUUCAUACCAUGGUAGUUGUUUAUUGUUGUAAUAUUACGACAUUGAUAGGAUAAGAAAAAGUGUCUGCUUGUUAAGAAAGUUCAGAGACAAAUUACGCAUUGUUGGGCCCAAAUUAUGUCAUGGUUUAUAUGCAUGCCAUCAAUUCUUCAUGUAGCUCACUACCUGAUUCAGUCUUGAGAAUAACAAUUGUAGAUAGUCUCAUUGAAAAUGACUUCUGUAUGUCUUGCAUAUAGAGUCGUACAUUGAAAAUGUCCUCUUUAGGUCCAGCUUCUCCACAUUAUGUGUUGUGUCAUGCGAGGUAAGUAGAUACUACCUACUACAGACAAAUUCCAUUUGCAUUAGGAGGGGAGUGGAGAAGCCGGAGGGGAUGAGGUGCCAUCGGCAUGGGUGCUUGACGGUGUGCCGUAGACCAGGCGGAGGAUCUCCUGGUGGAGCUUGGCAGAAGGGAGGCGCUUGGAGGAGACGCCAUGGAGCCUGUGCCUGCUGCUGGUGGGACUCCGUGCGGACGUGUGUUGGGAGGAGCUGUGCAUGACACCCAAACAUGGCACCAAGGCCUUCCAUGUCCGCACCGAGGUAAGCAAUGACUUGUUUCACUGCCAACCCGCUACAAGUGUACAAGGCCUUCCGCAUUCAAGCUGAGAGGGCAAGAAAAUUCAAUUGUUAACAGGAACAUAAAAGUGGCUCAUCUUCUUUGAUAGAAUCAUAGAAGUACACAAUGAUUGGCUGAAGCGUUGGACUGCUAAAGUUCUAGGAAAGAUAGAAAUCCACCUUUUUGCGUAUUUAUUUUGCUGUUGUUGGAGAUGAGCUUACGAGUAGAAAGAUUAAAGAUCUGGUAACUGUCCUUAAUGCUUCAGCUGGACGUUUUUUAUCUCCGCUUUUGGGGCUGCCUUUAUGUCAGUCAUGGAGGGAGCUGGAGCAAAUUUGUGAUUUCUUGUGGCCACUUUUCUCUGAAAAGUGCAGGUUGCCUGGUGAUCUAAAAUUGUGGAUCGGAAAUGUUCUUCACCAAUGCCCAUCCCAGUUGCUGACAAUUUUGUUUGCACGCUCAGGUAAGUGUUUUUUUGUGGUGAUUUACUAAACAUGCUUUGGGUCAUGACCCCCUUUGACGUAGACGUAUGUCUCCUCUACACAUUAUUGUCAGGUUGCGAAAUAGCAAGUAAGGAACUACAGAAAGUGGAUUGCUAAGUUUGCCAAGCAUAUUGAUCAAUGUAUCUAUGUCUAAAUUUAUUAUUUCGUGGCAGCGCAAGGAAAUUUCUCCUUUGUGUCCUCUGAAAUCUUGCGUAAAUUUGUUGUGACUCAUCAUUGAAAGCAGUUAGAGAUGAUCUAGAAAUACUAAAAUAAAUUAAACCAAAGGUGUGCCCUGAAACUUGUGCAUUAUUUUUUUAAUCUUUUUGAUUGAUUUCUUUGGGAAGUUAGUCAAACUUUGUGAGUGUGGAAGGAAGGGGGCAACUGUUUCGGACACUUAUUAAACGUCUUAGAGCUCAUUUCAUCAUCUUUGUUUUUCUAACACUUAAUAAUGAGCUCACAGAUGAUAGAAGCAGAAAAAAAAUACUUGGCCAAAUAUCAUUUAACCAGAUAUUGUACAUUGUAGAAUCAGUAGUCUAUCUCACUUCAUUCUUGUUAGAACCUGCAUAAGAUUUUGUAUGUGAUGCUUUUGUUUAUUCAAUCAAGUGAAAUAAGGGCUACAACAAGAGAUCACCAUUAGGUUAUCAUGAACCAGCAAAAUGGGUAUAAGAAGCUAUAUUCAAGAAAAGAUAUUUUGCUCAUUCUUUAUCCAGAGCAAAUAUAAAGUCGCAUACGAACAUCCGAAACUAAGAAGUCAACAAAUAGAUCAGUAUAUUCCAUGUUAAGUGUACAACUCACAAAUAGACAUUUCCAGUGAGAAAAUAUUAACUAUUUCUAAAAUGUCGUGACAAGUUGUUGUUUUUUUGUAGAAUUUUAUGCUCUUGCUGUUAUCUUAGCCUCACAGGAUUGUAAAUUUUGAUGGAAUAUAGUAAGAUUUUCUUAUAAUCACGAGUUCUUUUAUAAUUGGAUGAGAAGAUACCAUCUAGCGCAUCAAUUAAGAAUUACCCAUAUUAAUACCUCGAACAGGGAUGCAUGUAUUUGAUCUUUCCUGCUGAGAUUCAGUGUUUCCUAUCGGAGGUCUGAAUUUGCAUAUGUGGGGCCUCUCAGUUAGAUUGUAAGUAUACUAACCAUUCUGUAACUGAGGUUGUGCCAUAUAUCUAGAACUGUAGAAUAUCUUCCACAUAUGUUCAUUCAGGGACCUUAGAAAUUCACUAUUGAGGGUUCAUUGCCAAGAAGGCAACUCAUCUCUUCGGCAUUGAAUUUAUUUGGAGUGUUGCAAUUAUCGCAAUGCUCAGUGACAACUACCAGGGUCAUGAAGAAGGUAAGUCAUCUCCCAUGCAUCAAAUUUAAUUGGAAUUGUGCAGCUUCAGAUUUGCAGUAAUUAUGAUUAAGCACUCUAUCUAUAUAGUUCAAAACUUAGCUAUGUAUAUCGCAAGGGUAACCAAUUAAGUUGGUAAACUUUCAUGUAUUUUGCAGUCCUAGCUCAACAAUGGCUCCAUGAGCUCUAACAGGUGUGGUGGGCUGCCAACGACCUACACAUAGUAUUGCUUAAAUCGGCUGCAAUCACUAGAUUCUCGUCACUAACUAUGUGAACUUGUAGAAAGUGGUCACGUUGGGAAAGGAGUAAACGGAAUGCUACUAAAAUAGUGGGCCUUUGGGCAACACCUAAAGCAUUGCAAUAAGCUUCUGAUAAGAAUUUCAUAUAAGAAUAGGUGCUUGUAAAUAUGUUGAAUUGUUCAUGGUGGAGUUGUUGUACAGUCUCCCAACAGCCAUGAUUUACAAGGCUCAAGGGACUAUAUAAAGGCCAAACACUUGGAAUUCAAACAAGCUAGGUUCAAAAUGGUAACUUUGAGUUAUUAUUUAUGUUGUUUGGCUGGCUUAUUUGAUGCCGAAGUUGUAUGAGGAUACGUGUGUUUUAAAAUUUUGCUAUUGGAUUUCACUUUUUUCUUUA